rnacentral:rRNA from 1 species
UACAGAGGGUGCGAGCGUUAAUCGGAAUUACUGGGCGUAAAGCGCACGUAGGUGGCGACGUAAGUCGGGUGUGAAAGCCCCGGGCUCAACCUGGGAAUUGCAUUCGAGACUGCAUUGCUGGUGUACGGAAGAGGAGGGCGGAAUUCCCGGUGUAGCGGUGAAAUGCGUAGAUAUCGGGAGGAACAUCAGUGGCGAAGGCGGCCCUCUGGUCCGGUACUGACACUCAAGUGCGAAAGCGUGGGUAGCAAACAGG